AAAAUUUAUUCUUUACUUAGAUUUAUAAUAAUCAUGUAUUUCAAUACGAUUGUAUAUAAACUACUGGACAAAAUUAAAGGAACAAAAGUUUGAAACAGCGCCAAGUUUGUAAAAGUUGAGCAAAGAAUCUGAAAUUAUGAUGUAGCCCGACGUGUCGACUUGACUCCUGCAAAGUCUCUCCGCUGUGGGUCCAGUAGUUUCAAAGUUAUGCCCCUCGAAGCAACUUCCUGUCAAAAACAAAAGUUACAAGGUUUGGAGAUACAGAGCAAUCUGAUGUUAAAAACGGGAUGGAAAAAUCUCGAAAUGGGCUAAGCAGUUUCUGUAAGUGUCCCUUAGAGUGUUUCUGGUGCGCCCUGACACCCUCAUUUUUUUUAAUUCUAAAUUUGCAACCCCUUUGUUUUGACAGUGGAGACAGUGUUUUGCAUCGCGUCCGUCUAUCUGAAGACAACUCUCUAGCACCGCUCAGUUUUAAAAUUUUUGAAUGUCAAAGAUCUUAUCCUUCUAUGACCCCUACUACCCUGCGAGGAUGAAUUGAACGACCACCCCUAACACUAACCAGCCCCCGCAAGUGUCUUCAUGCGUCCAAAAAAUUCAGAAAUAGACCGAACCGCACUCGUAGAGAUCUCAUUCCUUCCUGACCACGCACGAAAUCUACCCCUUUUAAUCUCUACCUGCUACUUCUUUAAUCAGACAACGAGUCGCAAUUGUGCCAGGCUACAGGAGAUCGCUUCAGGCUACAGGUGAUCGCUCACAACUUUCAUUUGAGACAAAAAAAUCUUUGUUUUUUCUUCAGCCAUCUUGUUUUUAUCCCCUUUUUGUGUUAGGUUUUCUUUUCUCCCUAGAUUUUCGCUAUGUGCAUUUUUCUUUGCUUUUAUGCCUCUUCCAGUUGACUCUUCGUCUGCGUUUUUUUUUUGUUCCUGAUUGCUUUUUUCGUUUCCCCUGAAAAACACAUUACUUUUCCGGGUACUCUCUCACAUCCUUUUCACAUUUUUUGUUUUUUAUAUUGUUUGUGUAACAGCAAAACAAAAAAAAUUUUUGAACACAAAUUUAUUGCUCUAAGGCAAUGCGUCUGUAUAAAAAACAAAGCAACUAAAAAACAAAACAUGAUUCACAAAACAAGAAAAUGAGAAAACUGAAAAAAAUGGAAACAAAAAUUAAAUGGUAACAAGAAAACAAAUGAAAUUUUAACGCUCACAUCCACCGAAAUCGCUUUCUUCCUUGCCGGCGGCAUGCCUUGUUUUGUGAGUCAUGUUUUGUUUCUCAUUUGUUUUGUUUUUUGUACAAACGCAUUGUUUUAGAGCAAUAAUUCGCAAUUUUUUGUUUUGCUUUAACAAUGUUUUGCUGUCCCAUAAACAACAUAAAAAACAAAAAAUGUGGAGAUGUGAGAGAGUACAUGGCAAAAUAAUGUGUUUUUCAAGGGAAACAAAAAAGCAAUUAGGAACAAAAAAAACGUAGACGAAGAGUCAGCUGAAAGAAGCAUGAAAACAAAGAAAGAUGCACAUAGAGAAAAUCUAGAGAGGAAAGAAAAUCUAACAAAAAAAAGGAUAAAAACAAAAUGGCUGGAGAGAGAACAAGGAUUUUUUUAGUCUCGUAUGCAAGUCGUGCCCUGAAGCGAUCACCUGUAGCUUGGCGCAACUGCGACUCGUUGGCCGAUUAAAGAAGUAGCAGGUAGAAAUUAAAAGAGGUGGAUAUCGUGCGUGGUCAGGGAGGAAUAGCAAAGACCUCUACAUGUGCGGUUCGGCCUAUUUCCAAAUUUUCCGGACGCAUGGAGGAACCAGCGGAAGCUGAUUCGUGCUAGAGGUAGUCGUUCAAUCCACCCUCGCGGGGUGGUAGAGGUCAUAGAACGAUAAGACCUUCGACAUUUAACGGUUUUAAAAGCGAUGUUAGAGAGUUGUCCUCGGAUAGACAGACACGAUGCAAAACACUGUCUCCACUGUUAGAACGAAGAAGUGACGAAUCAGGAUUAAAAAGAAAUGCGAAUGUCAAAGUGCACUAGGGAUACUUUAACAGACACUUACAGAACCGAUUUAGCCCAUUUCUGAAUUUUUCCUGGCCAUUUUCCGCAUCAGAUUGCCCUGUAUCUUCCAAACUGCAAUCUUGUAACUUUUGUUUUUAACAGGGAGUUACUUCCAGGGGUAAUUCUGAAACUACUGGACCCACAGCGCGGAGACUUUGCCCAGUUAUGAGUCAUAUUUGAUUUUGUAGAUAAUCUUCUGUAAAUAAUAAUGGUAGUAAUUUAAUGAAAAAUAGUUUAAUCUUUAAACUUCUACCGAAAGUUCUGACCUCUUGGUAUCAUUUUACUGAUUUAAUGGCUUAUUAUCAGUCUCAAAUAACAAAUAUGUCAAAUACGUUAUGCCAAGAAUGUUUUCAUAUUAGAAAGCGUAAAUCCUAAAUAUUAAAUAAUUGACACAAUAUAAACACAGUAGUCUACGAGCAUUGUUCUUACAUAUGCAAUAUUUUUAAUAACAUUUUUUCUUUUACCGUUACGUUUUACUACAAUAUAGACAUGAUGUCGUAUUUUAUCAACAUACUUAAACUUUGAACUUUAAGAAAUAUUAGAUUAGCAAUAUCGAUAUUAUAGUUAGUAAGAACUCCUAUAGAUCAUGAGCUUUUAUAUGACGGUUAAAUUCUAUUCUGUGUCCAACUUGGAUCACAUGUUCCCUAUAUCGGCAUUUGAUAUAUGUGAGGAGUACAACUUUGCUUCCGCCGUUUUUUUUUCGAAAUUCGAGGCUUUAUUGUGAGAAACAGAUUAUACAUUUACGAUUCAAAGUAUUGUCCAUCGCUGGCCACUACUUUCUCCCAUCUUUCUGGAAGCAUAUGAAUCCCGUGGAAAAACUGGUCAUCUUUUGAGACGAUCCACGAAUCAAUUCAAUUUUUCACUUCUUCAUAAGAACGGAAGUGCUGGUCAGCCAGGCCGUGUGUCAUUGAUCGAAACAAGUGAUAAUCAGAGGGAGCAAUGUGGAGAAUACGGCGGUUGGAGUAGUACUUCCCAUUUCAACGUUUCCAAGUAUGUUUUGAUGGGCUUUGCGAAAUGGGGUCGAGCAUUGUCAUGCUGCAAAAUCACUUUAUCGUGUCUAUCGUAUUGGAAGCCGGGAAGUUCCCCGGCCAUGCUUCCACGUCGACGGCCAAACCGAAUAUUCACGGCUCCAAGGUGAUGCUCUGUAUUUGGUGAGACCAGCUCGGCGUAGUGUAUUAUGAGCUACUAAAACCGACUGAAACAAUCACAGGCGAUCAGUAUCGAAAGCAAUUGGUGCGUUUGAGCCGAACACUGAAAGACAAACGGCCGCAAUACAACAAUAGACACGAUAAAGUGAUUUUGCAACAUGACAGUGCUCGACCCAUGUCGCAGAGCCCGUCAAAACAUACUUGGAAACGUUGAAAUGGGAAGUCCUACCCUACCUGCCAUAUUCUCUGGACAUUGCUCCCUCUGACUGUCACUUGUUUCGAUGAUUUUCUGCGCUUGGAGUUAUCGUAAUGAACUCAUUUUUCGUCCCCAGUCACAGUACGAUGCAGAAAUCUCUUCCGUGUUUGCCUUGUAUGCAGCUGUUUACAAGCAAACAAACGCCGUUUUGCAUUUCUCGGCUUCAACUCGUACGGCACCCAAUUUCCUUGCUUCUGAAUCAUUCCCAUGACUUUCGGGUGUUGUGAAAUGGUUUGUUGAGUCACUUCCAAUGAUUCUGCCAAUUCUUCUUGCAUUUGACACAAGUCUUGAUCAAGUAAUGCCUUCAAUUCUGCAUCUUCGAAAACCUUCUCUCUUCCAUCGCCAGAUCAGAUGAUUACAGAUAGAUCUCACGAUGACUUGAGAGCACAAAUUUUGUGCGAGCUACAACACGCGUAUAAAAUGUACCGUUGCCAUUGAACACGAGAACCGAAGUAAAGUAGCUCCAGCGCAUGCGCUAGCGAGCAAGCAGCUUAAACACGAAGUGCUAGAGCUCAUUUUUUAUACAUUUUAUAUAUUUAAAAAUAUAAUAUAAAAUUUUUCAGAAUUGUUUGCAUGAUGGUCUUUCUGAAAUUGUUUUUGUAAAUUGGACUUUUUUAAAAUUCUUUAGAUCCUAUAGCUAGACCAACAAAAUUAGCGGGAAAUAAUGACUAUUAAAAAUACGACCUUAACGUAAAAAAGUAUUGUUAAUCUAAAAAGUUUACGUUGCAAACUAAUUUUGCAACAUAUUGUUGCGUUCGCCCGGCAAGUCUGCCUCGCACAAUCACUCGCGCACUUCUGCGCGAAAUGACAAAGACACUCUCUUUCGUAAAAUUCUUUAAUGAGGCUUGAAAUACAAAGAUCGUUCACGGAUCAAGAUCAAAGCACGUCUGCUCGGCUCGAAAUCUCAAGCUCAACUCUCCCUUGACAACGCGUCAACAUCCGUAGUCAAGGGACAACGUUCACGUUCCACGGAGAAAUCCCGAUGCACCGAACGAUUUCCCGACUCGGGCGCAACAAUAUUAUAAACAAAUUAACUGUUGACUGUAAGGAAAAGUUGUACAUAUUCUUUUUGUAAUUUUUUCCGUAGAAUUGAUUGGCUUUUACUAUAGUUCUACACAUCAUAAUUUUGUUGUAGUUAAUAUUUAAUAAUUUGUUUAUAACAAUUUGUUGCAAAAUUGAUUUUUGCAACGUAUUAUUUGCAUAAAUAUUUGUCAUUUAUACAUAUGUAUCAUGAAAAAAGGAAAAGUUCAAUUAAAAGUAAAGGUUAAAGUUCAUAUUUUUAAAGUUUUAUUAUUUGUGGCAACCAUAAUAAACACGCCAUAUUAAAUUUUAAAUGUCUGACAUCAAAUUUAUAACACCGUGCAAUAAUGUUUUUGUGUCUGCCCAAAAAUGCCAAUUUUCAUCCUUUUUAGGACAUAAACAUUAUAGAAAGUUAUAAAAAGUUGUAAACUUUGUUUUAGAAUUUUUGCGGUAAAAUAUAGUUCUUUAAAUUUCUGAAAUUUUGUAUGAAAAGAAACGAGGGCCAGCAGUUGGGUCCACGUUAUCGGAUCUUGGAUUACGCUGGAAACUAUUACAUAUGCAUAUUAUUCAGAUUUAAAUAUAUUUUAAACGUACUUCACUAAAAUCUAAGAGUUUUCAGUAAAGUAUGCAAAUUCUUACGAUUUAAAAGAUCAAGAUUUGAGUACGCAAAGUGUACGCAAAAAUAAAGUCUAAUUUGAAUUAUGUUCUUUUUCCUAGAUCCUUUUUCCAUGAUUUUGGGACUCAGGAAACAAAAUUAUUUUGGUUCCCUUGUAAGAACAGCCUCAAUCCACGCGCGAAAAACGGCUAACUCAUCGUAACGGCAGAGGGGCAGGACUGAUGACAGAGGCGCGCACGACAAAGAUAGCGCAAAGCACGAUAGAAAACCAAAUAAUUGCAACACGUAGAGUAAUCAGUAAUAGAAGUUUAUUGCUCGAGUAAGAAAGAAAAUAAACAAAGAACAAGAAAAAUAAUGGGAUGUACCAAACGGAAUUCGCAAACGCUAGUUCGAUAAUUCCAGUAGUCCCGUAGCGCGGGAAAAUAACAUCAAUUACGCACGAUUGAUCGAGUACACUUGAUCUCGGGCAACAAUCGCGGCAGCGAUGGAUCGCGGACGUGAGUUUGCGAGGGUACUGGCCGCAGCACGACCACGCGCUUCUCGAUACUCGACUCGUGCUAUUCGAUCUCCCUAACACCGAUCCUGGCACGAAAAAUAUUCGCACGAAGCGACACUCGCGAUACCCGCGGGGAUUACUUUCCCUACGCGGCACAACACGGCUCACACGAGCAAAGACUUUGCGACGCACGCGGUCGCUACCGGGGAAACCGCCAACGUGAUCCGCUUUCCUCCUUAGCUACGAUAUCCAACGUGAUUUCGCCCCUCUCGCUUGAAUCCGGCAAUACACUAAAAAUCGCGAGGCCGCCCCGUAGUGACGCAACACGAACACGAAUCUGCGUCGGACGCAGAACGAGAAACGGGGUGGUUCGCCGGUCAGUAGCUUUACACAAAGAAAACGUCGCAAGUAACAGAUCAUCUCACCGAUAAAGUCCUGCCGGCUCGUCCUCUCCUUUGUCACCAGUUUCGCCGUCCAAGGGAGGCUCGUUAGGCAUCGUCGCCUCGCCGACAACGAUAAUUUUAGCUAGGCUCGCCGAACCAUAUCAGGCACCCGGUUUGUUCGCACGUACGCACGUAAAAACACGGGGAUCACGGUCGAUCCGCGAUCGACGCCGUGACCCCCCCAUUAGGGGCCGCGCGUUAGCUUCGCGCAUUACGCGGCCCAAUCGCGACAGGGCGCGCAGUCCUGCGGCCGCAGGGUCGUGCGCGCUCUCAUCCUUUCGGAGACCCUACGGGGCUCUCGCGAAAAACAGACUUUUCCGCCGGCAUCCUCCAGCGCCUCCCGACGGCACUCGUCGCCCUCCGCUAUUCGCGAUAGUCCUGCAGUCGGUGGAGGCGAUUCAGCGACCCUUGCCCCCCACGUCGCCGCCUCUAGUGUGCCCGUCGUUCUGAUCUUAGCCGGGGUUGCCGAUUUCCGUUUGCCGGCUUCGGCUUUCCCAGCAGCGUUGCGCUCCCUCGUGCUCCGCCUACUCGCCUCGCCUCUCUGACGGUUCUUCGCUCUCGGUUGCUGCUAGCCGGGCCGGCGAAAUUUUCCUUCGGCUCGCCUCUCCUUCCGCACUCGUCCCUGGCUCCCCCGAACUCCUUGUUGAUCACGCGGCGUGGUGUCCAUCGCGUUAACC